rnacentral:rRNA from 1 species
UACGUAGGGUGCGAGCGUUGUCCGGAAUUAUUGGGCGUAAAGGGCUCGUAGGCGGUUUGUCGCGUCGGGAGUGAAAACACACAGCUUAACUGUGUGCUUGCUUCCGAUACGGGCAGACUAGAGGUAUGCAGGGGAGAACGGAAUUCCUGGUGUAGCGGUGAAAUGCGCAGAUAUCAGGAGGAACACCGGUGGCGAAGGCGGCUUUCUGGGCCUUACCUGACGCUGAGACGCGAAAGCGUGGGGAGCGAACCGG